AUGAACAUUUCUCCAGCUUUAGUGACUGUGAUGCUGCUGUUCAUGCUUGGGAGAACCCAAGGAGACUCGGUGACUCAGAAACAAGGUCAAGUAACUCUCUCAGAAGAUGAUGUCCUAUUUAUAAACUGCACUUAUUCAGCCACAGGGUACCCAACUCUUUUCUGGUAUGUCCAGUACCCCGGAGAAGGUCCAGAGCUGCUUUUGAAAGUCACAACAGCCAACAACAAGGGAAGCAGCCAAGGUUUUGAAGCUACAUAUGAUAAAGGAUCCACCUCAUUCCACUUGCAGAAAGCCAUGGUCAAAGAGUCAGACUCAGCUGUGUACUACUGUGCUCUGGGUGACACAGAGGCAGAAACCACUGUGGGAGCUGAGCAUAAACUCAGCACAGGGGCCUGA